CAACGGCAGGGAGACCAAUCGUCGUGCAGAAAAACGGGGGCAAAACUGGUUGCCGCGGCGGGGACACGCAAGGGGCGAGGAGGAGGCGAGGAGGUCGCGCAGCGGCAGCAGAGUUCAAAGAGUGUCGCUACUUUCAAAUUAUCAAGGGAUUUUACGCGUCUUGCGCUCUUGCGUGUCGUGCGCAUUGCGCUGUUGUGUGUUCUCUGCUCGUCGGCCAUGUUGCAGAAACAGUCGGGCGCCUCGUUGCACGUUUCGUUCAAGCAGGCAUCACGAGCAGCGGGACGAGCAAUGGCAGCGGGAAGGGCACGUUGGAGCCAAGCGGAAACGUUUACGCUAUUUAGAAUUUGGGAGGACAACCUAAAUGACCUGCGUCGUGCCAAAAGGAAUCGUAAAGUGUACGCGCACAUUGUGGAAGAACUUUUUAAAGCCGGCAUCGAAAAAGAGUCUGAAGGAAACAAAAACAAAGAUUGAAAACCUGGGAAACAAAUACAGAGACAUAAAUAAAAAAAAGGGCACGGGCUAUGGCCAGAUAAUGUGGCCCUUUUAUUGGGAUAUACACAAAUUUCUCCAGGCACACGACCGGCAAAAGCGGCCAUAUUGAAUAUUGCUCUAAAAAAAAAAAAGCUGCAUUUCCGCUUCCUGUUCUUGCAGCGCCUUCUGGCGUCCACCUAGAAUGGAGGAACAGGCCAUAAGACAAAAGUAUAGAGACCUGGCUGCUGGUGCCGAUAGAGUGGAUGUGAAGAUCUUGAAACAAGGCCUCUCGGAAGGCCCUUGGGGAAAGCUAAAAAAAAAAAACGGUAUUGAAGUUGGCGAGAUUCUACACUGAAGGACAAGUCACCGUCUCUGAAGAUGACUUUGUCAGCAUCUGGAGGACACUAGAACACUGGGGACAGGCCUCAAAUUGGAGCUCAACGUUGAGUCGGGAACAAGCCCGAACAGCUAUGCAGAAUACUGGAAUAACAAGAUACGAGGCCUGUUCGACUAUAAUGUUCUCAAUCAUUGGUGAAAAUUCUGCUACCAUCACUUUUGAAGGCCUGGUAAAUGGGCUACUAGGGCAUCGAUUGCUCCAACGUUAUACUGCCAAUGCGGAGGCAGAGACAGUCUCUGUAUGGUGGAACAUUUUGUCGAAGUUUGUGUGCCAAUACACUGGUUAAUCUAGAAUUUGCAAGUGCGCUUGUUCGUUGUGACUGUUUGUAUUAAACUGUAUUGUCCUGUUAUCA